UGGCAAAAUGAUACCGAAGAUAGUUUGGCUAUAAAAAUGACGAGGUAGUCGACAAAAAACUAGUUGCAAUUUGCAAAACAUGCGGGUCAAAGAUUACAGAUGGAGCUGCCACAACGUCCAACUUUGUUCGACACCUGAAGUUGCACAAAGAAAGGUAUGAAGAAUACCAGAUGAACAAAAGCAUUGUAGAUGAAUCACAACAGCCUUCAAUCUCACAAUUCCUGGACACUCGUGUAGGGCGUUACAGCAUGAGCCACCCACAGCAGAAGGCCAUCUCCAAUUGGAUACUGUCUGACUUGAUUAUUGAUUGCAAUUUUCCUCUGUCUAUUGUGGAAAAUAAGAGCUUUCAUCACUUUCUGGCUGUGCUGGACAGCAAGUAUACCCCAGACUGUCGCCGAACGCUGACCACAAAAACAGAGAGCCUUGCUGAGGAGAGACGUUAAAAGUUAAAAACUCAAUUGAGCAACACUGACCAUGUUUCAGUCACUGUGGACAUUUGGUCUGAUCGAAAGAUGAGGGGAUUCCUUGGUGUCACUGUGCACUGGAUGGAGAGAGAUGCAGAGAGGGUACAGCUAAAGACUAAUCUCUUGGCCUGUAACCGCUUCAAAGGCUCUCACACAGCGGAGCACAUCGGUGACCAAUUUGAGGCAAUAUGUGAUGAAUACAACAUCAAAGCUAAAUUGGACUAUAUCAUUAGUGACAAUGCUGCUAACAUGAGCAAGGCAUUUACGGUCUGCUUCCCCAGCGAACAGGAGGAAGAUGAUGAUCCUGGAGAUAAUCUCGAUGAUCCUGAGCUAUGGCAUGACUUAACCCUAGGAGACCAGCAAACCGUCGAUGCUGCUAUGGCAAAGAAACAGCGCCUGCAGUGUUUUGCACACACAUUGCAGCUGGUUGUGGGAGACGGUUUGAAAGAAAUAAAAGCGGCAUGUCCUUCUCUCUCCAAGUUAUCAAAACUUAGCUCCCUGCUCCACACAAGCACAAUGUUUAAAGACAUCUUCGAUGGUGAAUUUGGGGAGCACAGAGGCAUCCCUGCUGCUGUGAGCACAAGGUAGAAUUCUUCUCUGCGGCAAGUGAAAGCAGUCAAUCAUUGUGAUCAGCAAAAGCUCUGCACAGUUCUUGAGAAGGCCGGGCAUUUCACAGCAGCCUCCGCAGCUCCAUUCCUGUGGGGUGCAUCUGCAGGAUGAAAAUUCCACUUCCACUCAGUCCCGUUCUUAGCGACUAAAUCUUCUAUGGACGUAACCUGCAGGCAAGCCAGAUGUUUAUGCAGCUCACACAGAGCAGACUUGGCGCCUACGAAAUUGGUGCCUCUGUCGGACCAUAGUUUCCUUGGAUGCCCCCUCAGAGCAACAAUGCGGGAGUAUGCUUGGAGGAAGCCUUCUGCCGACUGGUCAUCGGGCUUCCCCAAGCCCCGUAAUCUAGGCCUGGGAAUGGUAAGUGAGGAGGGAAACUCAGUCCUGGCAAGAAGAGCCGAAAUCAGCUCCAUCAGCUAAAACAAUCCCCUCUGUCUAUCACCAUCCCAGAGGGUCAGGAAGCCAAACCUCUCCCUCCCCAUUGACUGAGAGGAAGUAAAAGACCUCCCACCCCUGUUGAUCAAUCAAUAAAACAUGAGUGUAAGCAUGUGCUACGUUUUCUCAAAGCCUUGCAAUUGUGUUGUCUCAUAUGAUUAUGUAUAUAAAUGGUGUACAUGAUGUAUGAUGAAAAACAACACAUUAAUCACUUGUAAUCAGGAAAAUACAGAGUAUAUAGGAACAAAAAAUAAUCAACUCUAACCAUGAAUAUCCCUGUACUAAGUUGGCUACCCAAAG
ensembl:lncRNA